rnacentral:rRNA from 1 species
UGGGGAAUAUUGGACAAUGGGCGCAAGCCUGAUCCAGCCAUGCCGCGUGAGUGAUGAAGGCCUUAGGGUUGUAAAGCUCUUUCGGCGGGGACGAUAAUGACGGUACCCGCAGAAGAAGCCCCGGCUAACUUCGUGCCAGCAGCCGCGGUAAUACGAAGGGGGCUAGCGUUGCUCGGAAUCACUGGGCGUAAAGGGCGCGUAGGCGGACAUUUAAGUCGGGGGUGAAAGCCCAGGGCUCAACCCUGGAAUUGCCUCCGAUACUGGGUGUCUCGAGACCGGAAGAGGUGAGUGGAACUGCGAGUGUAGAGGUGAAAUUCGUAGAUAUUCGCAAGAACACCAGUGGCGAAGGCGGCUCACUGGUCCGGUUCUGACGCUGAGGCGCGAAAGCGUGGGGAGCAAACAGGAUUAGAUACCCUGGUAGUCCACGCCGUAAACGAUGGAUGCUAGCCGUUGGCAGGCUUGCCUGUCAGUGGCGCAGCUAACGCUUUAAGCAUCCCGCCUGGGGAGUACGGCCGCAAGGUU